GACGAACGCUGGCGGCGUGCUUAACACAUGCAAGUCGAACGCUGAAGCACCAGCUUGCUGGUGUGGAUGAGUGGCGAACGGGUGAGUAAUACGUGAGUAACCUGCCCUUGAUUCUGGGAUAAGCCCGGGAAACUGGGUCUAAUACUGGAUGCUACAUGUCACCACAUGGUGGUGUGUGGAAAGGGUUUACUGGUCUUGGAUGGGCUCACGGCCUAUCAGCUUGUUGGUGAGGUAAUGGCUCACCAAGGCGACGACGGGUAGCCGGCCUGAGAGGGUGACCGGCCACACUGGGACUGAGACACGGCCCAGACUCCUACGGGAGGCAGCAGUGGGGAAUAUUGCACAAUGGGCGAAAGCCUGAUGCAGCGACGCCGCGUGAGGGAGGACGGCCUUCGGGUUGUAAACCUCUUUCAGCAGGGAAGAAGCCACAAGUGACGGUACCUGCAGAAGAAGCGCCGGCUAACUACGUG
rnacentral:rRNA from 1 species